UGGGGAAUUUUGGACAAUGGGGGCAACCCUGAUCCAGCCAUCCCGCGUGUGCGAUGAAGGCCUUCGGGUUGUAAAGCACUUUUGGCAGGGAAGAAACAGCCUGGGCUAAUAUCCCGGGCGACUGCCGGUACCUGCAGAAUAAGCACCGGCUAACUACGUGCCAGCAGCCGCGGUAAUACGUAGGGUGCAAGCGUUAAUCGGAAUUACUGGGCGUAACGCGUGCGCAGGCGGUUCGGAAAGAAAGGUGUGAAAUCCCAGGGCUUAACCUUGGAACUGCACUUUUAACUACCGGGCUAGAGUACGUCAGAGGGGGGUAGAAUUCCACGUGUAGCAGUGAAAUGCGUAGAGAUGUGGAGGAAUACCGAUGGCGAAGGCAGCCCCCUGGGAUGAUACUGACGCUCAUGCACGAAAGCGUGGGGAGCAAACA
rnacentral:rRNA from 1 species